GACGAACGCUGGCGGCGUGCUUAACACAUGCAAGUCGAACGGUGACCCAGGGCUUGCCCUGGUGAUCAGUGGCGAACGGGUGAGUAACACGUGGGCAACCUGCCCCUGACUUCGGGAUAACUCCUCGAAAGAGGAGCUAAUACCGGAUACGACCACUUCGGACAUCCGAUGGUGGUGGAAAGUUUUCGGUCAGGGAUGGGCCCGCGGCCUAUCAGCUAGUUGGUGGGGUAAUGGCCUACCAAGGCGACGACGGGUAGCCGGCCUGAGAGGGCGACCGGCCACACUGGGACUGAGACACGGCCCAGACUCCUACGGGAGGCAGCAGUGGGGAAUAUUGCGCAAUGGGCGAAAGCCUGACGCAGCGACGCCGCGUGAGGGAUGAAGGCCUUCGGGUUGUAAACCUACUUUCUAGCAGGGACGAAGCGAAGUAGACGGUACCUGUAGAAGAAGACACCGGCUAACUACGUGCCAGCAGCCGCGGUAAU
rnacentral:rRNA from 1 species